CCCCCCCCCAAUAAAAUCGCUUGGUUGAACCUCCGUCUCAUCUUGGAUACUUUGGAAUAAUCUAGACAGCCAAACAGGCUCAUCUCCAAGAAAGAAUGUAUCAUCAUAAUGAGGAAAAAUUGGACCAGGGAACCAAAUUUAUGAAGUAAGAACUGUCACCAAAGUAUUCCAUAGCUGUUGUUGGAUCCGAGAACAAAGAAAGCCAAAGCACGUAUGUAUGCAGUAUGGUGUUUGUGGAUCGCCAGGGUAUGUCGUGGGGGUCUUUAAAGCUGGUGCUAGCUGGCUGGCCAUACGGCUGUAACUCAUGGUGCAUGCUGUGGAGAACUGUGCAGCAAAGAGACCACGUGCUUACACUAGGGCACACUGCCAAGCUGAGAACUAAAUCAGAGAGCAUCACCAGCGGCAGUAAGCCAGGAGGGUAUAAAAAGUUCCAAAGAGAGAAGCUGUGAUCAGAGGAUAUUCUAUGACAUCGGGCGGGACUGGGACAGCAGCAAGCAGACUGAUCCCUCCUUGUAGCCCAAAUCUGUCCUUCAUCAUGGUGGGGUUGUUUAUUUAGACUGUAUGUAGGUAAUCUUUAUCAACCUCUUUCAGAAAUUCUGGACUUGAGGGAAUAUGCAGAAAUGUGAGAAAAGGAAGAAAAUGUGCAGGACAGAGAUAGGAAAUGGAUUCAGAUGGUUGGAAUGGAAGAGAAACACCUUGGUUUUGAUGUUGCUUUCACAGAAGCAUAGUUACCCCCCCAAAAAAAUUUCAUGAUCAAUUAUUCAAAACAAUGGUAAGGAAUCACGAGAUUUGUUGUCCAGAUAUUGCAAACAUAGGAAAAUGUGGACAUAAAGAGUCACAUUUGUGAUGGUGGCAGUAUGCUCCUAAUUUUUCUUGUUUCUUUUUCUGUGUUAGUAAGAAGAAAACUUUUGAGGUUUUCAAUCAGGUCUCAAGUAUAUUAGUAAUAACAUGUUUCAAAAUUCACUGAUGUAAACUCAUGAAUGUUAAAA